UACAGAGGGUGCAAGCGUUGUUCGGAAUUAUUGGGCGUAAAGGGCGUGUAGGCGGUCUGCUAAGUCAUGUGUGAAAUCCCUCGGCUUAACUGUGGAACGGCUGGGCAUACUGGCGGUCUUGAGCCAUCUAGGGGCGACUGGAACAAACGGUGGAGCGGUGAAAUGCGUAGAUAUCGUUUGGAACGCCAAUGGUGAAAACAGGUCGCUGGGGAUGAGCUGACGCUGAGACACGAAAGCCAGGGGAGCAAACGGG
rnacentral:rRNA from 1 species